AACCCUAGUCCCAAUCCACAACCCCCACGCCGCUCCCUCCUCCUUCCCUCAGCCGCCGCCAUGCUCCCUCCUCCUUCCCUCAGCCGCCGCCAUGCUCCCUCCCACCUCCUCCUCCUUCUCCGCCUAGGAGCCUCGCCGCCGACUGCUACUCCUCCACCGCCUCGCCUCUUCCUCCUCCUCGCCUUCCCAUUGCUCGCGCGCAGGUCACCCGGCGGUAGGGGUGGUCAUGGAGGCUUCCCAGACUGACGGAGGAGCACGCCGCCACCGCAGGCCGCCCGUCCCGACGCGCGUCCGCAUCCGCCCCGACGCAGCCUGGCGGAUCUUUCUCGGGAGGCAGCGAGAGUUGCAGGCGCCGCGGUUGGCGUGCACGCGCUACUCAACUGGGUCGUCGUGGCCAGGCUCGGCCGCAGCCUCCUGGGCACGGCCAUGGUCGGCAACGCCUCUUGGUGACUCAUCAACAUGACUCAGUUCGUGUACGUCGUCGACAGCUCCUUCCCGGAGGCUUGGACGGGGUUCUCACGCAAGGCGUUCGCCAGCCUCGGCGGCUUCAUCAGGCUCUGCCUCACGUCUGCAGUUAUGCUCUGCUUAGAGAUGUGGUAGUACACGGCAGUAAUUGAUGCCUCGACCGAGCAAGAGGAUUCCCGUGCUGUGCACGCACCUGAUCGGGUGGUCGUCAUUUUCUCCGCCUUGGACAGCACCAGCUGAGCUAUAGGUUGUCGGAUCUGUUGUAUGAGGCAAUAAUGAAUAAGAGCAAUAUCAGCCUUUUAAUGUGCAGGUUUAUGACUACAUUACAGAUCUUGGUGGCUGCCUGUACAUGCCAUUUCUGUAGUUCGAUUAUGCAUUACCUGCAAUUAGUCAAGUGAUUAGUUAUUACCUGUAGUAUCUGGACCUUAUUUGGUUUGGUCAAUUUAGUCAUUCACCAUCCAUUUUUCUAAAUUUAUUGGUAUUUUUAAUAUGUCAUUUGUGUCAGCAUACUAAUUUCACAUCUUGUAAUUGUUUGUCUACCAGGAAAUCAAAUUAUUAAGCUGUCUCUGUUGCAAAUGGAUAAUGAGUAAAAACUACAUUUAUGAAUAUUAUAUGCAAAACUCUUCCUUUCUGCUGCUCCUAUUUAGAGUGAGUCAAAUAUGUAGUAGAUGCACUAAUUUGGCUCAUUGCCUUUCUUCAUCAUUGUGUAGAUGCAAAACAUUUUUCCCUUGUGCUGAAUGUUUGCCACUGUUUCCAUUUUUGCUCAUUCUGAUCUAACCAAACGGACCCCAUGGAUUUGAGGUUGUCAUGCAUGUAAUGCUUGGAUAUGCCCUUAUUUGUAUCUAAAUAUAUGGAUGGUUGCCUUUUUAUCAUUUCCAUUUAUAUAUUUCACCUGACUUGCCAUGCGUUGUGGGUUUGCUACCGAAUGAACAGUUUUUUUAUUUGCAUUGUUUGUCAUUCUCAUGCUUAUUAUUUUUUGUUUCAGUUUGUAGGGGUUGUAUGCUCCACCGUCUAAAAUAAAUCUAGCCAACAGGUGGUUUAGAGGCAUUUUGUGGUGCCACUAUUUUCUUUCAGGUUUAGGCACUUUGACUCUACUAACUUUAGCCAGGUUUGUAUCAUUAGAUUGCACGCUGCCUUUCAUUGAUGUAUUUGCAAGCUAUAGACAUUUGCAGAUCAACAUGUUCAAAGUUUUAUCCUCUUAUGUUUUGCUGCCAAUUUCUAUGUUCACUUCAGUAAUGUCUAAUUUGGUGUUCUUUUAUUUCUUCUGUACUGAUGCUAUUAAUUACAACCUUCAUGUGCACCUUGACUUACAUCGAUAAUAUUGCACGUAAUUCCCUCUUUUUUAUUGAUGUGUGGUUUUAUUAGUGUGAUUAAUUCCCUCUCUUUUUACUUUUUCAUGUCAGGUACUACAUGUACUUUUUGUGAUGACAAGGGUAAAUUACCAGCCAAUUUUGGUACUAGCCAGAUCAAAGAUUUAUGUCCUAAAAAUGAUUUGCUCGGCUUCAUGCAAUUGAAUUGUUAUCACAUAUUUACGAGCAAGCUCAUAUUUAUAUCUCCAUGAUCUCUUAACAGCGAGGGCUUACUGCUUCCCUCUAAACUCAUAUAUUUAUUGAUAAGUGUUGUAGUUUUUGUAUCUAUUUCUUGCAGUUUAUGUAUCUAUUUCUCUCUGGAGCUAGCUGAGUGGUCAACACCGAGGAAGAUGGGGAAGACAGAGCCAGUGAGGAAGAUGGCUCAGCCCUGCCACCGAUGCCCACCGGCCACUCCCGUCGGUCACCAGCAUAGGAGGGGCGCACCAUCGAGGAGCAGCAGGGGAGGAGAAGAGGAUACACCGCCGGACUCCCUCUUCACUUUAUGGUCCGUGUACAAUUUAUUCCAGUGCUCGACUCGGUGUCCGUCCCAACAAAACCUAACAUGUCGGUGCGAAAUUCUGCUAGCCAGCUUGACCAUUUGCUUUGGAAGGAGUAAUUCAACUCAGAAAGGACAAAUGAUUUGCGACUAUUUUUUUCCUACAAUCUCUUUAGGAACCGCAUCACAACAGAUCAAUGGCAUUGUAGGUUCAGUGGCCAUGUAUGCUGAAUAUCCCCUCACUAUACAAGAUUGGAUUUUAGUCUAUACAAGCCAUCCUCUCAGCUGCUCAGACACAGGUGAAUGCACUGGACUUUUUGAGAUCGAGGCCACCAACGGCAUAUGCCAAGGGUGUCCAUUGACUACCUGCCCAAGGUCUGGAUUCACCGAGGAGGUACAACCGGACACUUGGUCGGCUGCCUACUGCAAUAGCGACUGUACAAAUAGCGGCACUGUGUUUGGUCAUUUGUUCUUGUGGCUUCGUGGCCAUGGGCACUUUACUGCUUUGUUCCAAAAAAACCUGAAAUCUAUAAUGAAAUUUGCAGUGGUGAUGAUAGCGGGUCUUCCGAAUCGCUUCCUCAGCCUAACAACAGAGCCUACAAACCAACUUUUAUCAACAUCAGUAAUGAUGCUGGCCCUUCGCACCGUCGCAUGAAAGCCAAGAAAAAAAAGGAGCACACAUUGCAUGGGGCACCAGGCACUAUCUACUUUCUAAGCUUUGAUAGUCAUUGCAUAUGGGGAAACAAAUGAGGCUAUACAAGAAGCGGCUCACACGUUUGCCACUCAAAGAAUGCCAAUACCCUAUACACAUCACCUGCAAUUUAUUCCUUGGUCAGUUUUACCAAGAAAUAUCUCUGCCGCUGUAUUGACCCAAAGCUUUAUGACUUGCUAAUAAAAUCUAGAGAUGGAAAUCCCUGCAUCAAAGCCCGUCUAAUCAAAGGAGUCAACAAUAGGGCAAAAAUUACUAGAGGCUGGGCAGGCUUCUUCCCCGCAGCUAAUAUGAAGGAAAGAGAAAUAUAUGCCUUCGCUUUCAAGCGCAACUACAAGCGCUUGGGUCUCACCGUGCACGCCCUCUGAGCAUCAUGUUCAGUCUACUAAACUAAGCAAUUAGCCUAUGAAGUUCUAUGUGUAUAGCUUCACUCUAAAAAUCUGUUAGCUUUUGGCACUGGACUCUUUGGUCAUCAUGUUCAGUCUACUAAACUACCUAAAUAGCCUAGGAAGUUCACUUGUGACCAAAGGAAUCCAUUUACAUUGCCCUAUAUAUAAUCGUCAAUCAAUAUCCUAGAAGACCUAAAAGGGAAACUAAUACUUUCUA